rnacentral:sRNA from 1 species
UUGCCAAACAAAGCCUGGAUUCGCCUCGAAAGCCUCUGGGGUCGCGAGAGAUGUCGCAGGAUACGACCGCCAUACGCCCCCGGCGCCGCGGAAUGUUGGGAGCCCUGAUGCCGCCGAUAGGCCGGCUCCAAGAAGUGCCAUCACAUUUUUAGAGCUUUGAAGGUACUCCGAAAACGCUCGUCUCUCGGGCUCUGACAGAAUCGAGGGACGUAUCGCGGAUGAUGUCAUGGCCUGUUGGGACUUUUAGGAUGUUCGAGGGGCGGAAUGCUUGGUUUGGCGUGGAACACCUGCGCCUUUCCAAGGUUUAAACAGUCAGAGCUUCCGCCAUUUAGACGUGACAUUUAAAUUUCCUUUGCUACAAAAGACUUAGCGAAGGCAGCGAAUAAAUAGGAU